rnacentral:rRNA from 1 species
GACAGAGGUUGCAAACGUUGCUCGGAAUCACUGGGCGUAAAGCGCGUGUAGGCGGGAAGGAAAGUCGGUUGUGAAAUCCCUGAGCUCAACUCAGGAACUGCAUCCGAAACUUCUUUUCUUGAGUGUCGGAGAGGGGAGUGGAAUUCCUGGUGUAGAGGUGAAAUUCGUAGAUAUCAGGAGGAACAUCAGUGGCGAAGGCGGCUCCCUGGACGACAACUGACGCUGAGACGCGAAAGCGUGGGUAGCAAACAGG